rnacentral:rRNA from 1 species
UACAGAGGUCUCAAGCGUUGUUCGGAUUCAUUGGGCGUAAAGGGUGGUGUAGGUGGCGCCGUAAGUCCGGGGUGUGAAAUUUCGGAGCUUAACUCCGAAACUGCAUUCGAUACUGCGGUGCUUGAGGACUGGAGAGGAGACUGGAAUUCAUGGUGUAGCAGUGAAAUGCGUAGAGAUCAUGAGGAAGACCAGUGGCGAAGGCGGGUCUCUGGACAGUUCCUGACACUGAGACACGAAGGCCAGGGGAGCAAACGGG